AUUGAACGCUAGCGGGAUGCUUUACACAUGCAAGUCGAACGGCAGCGCGGUCUUCGGUCUGGCGUCGAGUGGCGAACUGGUGAGUAAUGUAUCGGAACGUCCCCAGUAGCGGUUGAUAACUACUCGAAAGCGUAGCUAAUACCCCAUACGCCCUACCGGCGAAAGCAGGGGAUCGUAAGACCUUCCACUAUUGUCGCGGCCGAUUUCGUAUUAGCUAGUUGGUGAGGUAACGGCUCACCAAGGCGACGAUCCGUAGCUGGUUUGAGAGGACGACCAGCCACACUGGAACUGAGAAACGGACCAGACUCCGACGGGAGGCAGCAGUGGGGAAUAUUGGACAAUGGGGGCAAACCUGAUCCAGCCAUACCGCGUGUGGGAUGAAGGCCUUCGGGUUGUAAAGCACUUUUGGCAGGAAAGAAAAGUAGCGGGCUAAUACCCCGUGGAACUGACGGUACCUGAAGAAUAAGCACCGGCUAACUACGUG
rnacentral:rRNA from 1 species